AGGGAUGUCUGGAUUCUUCCUACCUCUCCACAUUUUAAACAAGAAGGACCCACAGCUCAAUACUGAACAAUUCCAAAUAGAUACAUAUGAUCCGGACACACAGGAGGUUAUUUCCAAGGGAACAGCUAUCGUGGCGGACUGGAUAAAACCACUAUUGGAGAAAAAAUAAAAUUAGAAGAAAAAGGUUAUAAUGAGAACACUAACAAUUGCCUCAAGAUAAGAUUGACAAAAGGAUCCAAAUCCUUUGACCCAACCCCCUCCUGGGAACUCAAAUUCUUUUACACAAGAAAGGGUAAAAUGGUCUGCGAGUGGAAAUGGAAGUUACUGGGACCAGAACAUAAAAAUGACUAAUAUGGAAGUGUUUAAGAAGCUGCUGGAUUCUAUAGUGCCCAAGAAACAGCUCUCAUCAGACUGACAAAGAGCUACUUGGUUUGUGGAAGGCGUUUCAAGGGAGACUGGACAACAUCUUGUUGGGAAGGCUGUUACUCUGAAGAAGAAUCAAGAGAACCUAUUUUCUUUCUAGCUAUUUACAGCUUAGAAAAGUUGUGACACAAUUGGAGACACUGAUUAUUUUAUCAAGGCUUUGACUGGAAUGGCAUAUAUUCAAAUAUGACCAGAUUGAGGAAUUGAGGUCAAGUUUAUGGAGCCAAUAAAAAUUCCCUUGGAAAGACUGACCUAGUUAGUACCUUUUCUAAAUGGUUCCUUUACAAGGAUUCUUUGUAAAGAAUGUCACUUUCUAUUAAAAAUAGGCCCAGGAACCCCAAAACAUUUGGGGACCUCAAGAAGAGAGGAAUUCGUACAGAUAUUAUAAGCAAAGUCUAAGGGUAAAUCCUUGGGUUGGCUUCUGGCCUUGAGGAUUUUAAAACGUUGAGUCUAAAAUUCCUUAUAAAAGUUCCAGCAAAGCCAGGUUAAAAGGAGUCUAUAUGGCUGAUCACUAUGCUUGCUACACUUUAUGCAAAUAACCAUGGCAAGUACAAUGAGAACAAAAUUUAUUUUGCAAACAAAUUGGUCUUAUUGUUACAGGUAGUCAGGCAUGAGCAGGGCAGGAGAGGGACCCCCCUCCCACUACCCACCAGGAAUGUCAGGUGAUCAUCAGGUGAUGGUUUGGCAUCUAUCACACUUCCUCUCUAAAAAUGAUAAUUGGCAGCCAGCACCAGGGAGAUGCCAUUUUCUGAAGGUGCACAGUUAUGACAAUAAAAUAAUAGAUCGCAGGUUCCAGCGAGAGGCAGUUUCUCUACAGAUAAAAACAUUUGAAAUUGGUAAUUGGCAGCUUAGGAAUUGGGUGAGCACACUCCAGCAUGUGCGUUAAG
rnacentral:lncRNA from 10 species